rnacentral:misc_RNA from 1 species
AUGUCUAACGUCAUCGUCCUCGACAACGGGGCGGUUUUAUAAAAGCCGGCCACGGCGGCGAACGUGAUCCUGUCACUGUAAUCCCCAACUGCCUCUACCGUCCUCUCUCCUCCAAGAAAUUCCUACAUCCAUCUCCCACAGCCUCUGCCUCAACCGAAGACCUAACCUCCGCCGCUGUUCGCCGUCCAAUUGACCGCGGCUACCUCAUAAACCCCGACCUCCAGCGGGAUAUCUGGAGUCACCUCUUUACCUCUCUUCUCCACAUCACUCCCUCCAAUUACUCCCUUCUCUUGACGGAACCUCCCUG